GCCGGGGGGGGUGCCUAAUACAUGCAGUCGAACGAACUCUGGUAAUGAUUGGUGCUUGCAUCAUGAAUUACAUUUGAGUGAGUGGCGAACUGGUGAGUAACACGUGGGAAACCUGCCCAGAAGCGGGGGAUAACACCUGGAAACAGAUGCUAAUACCGCAUAACAACUUGGACCGCAUGGUCCGAGUUUGAAAGAUGGCUUCGGCUAUCACUUUUGGAUGGUCCCGCGGCGUAUUAGCUAGAUGGUGAGGUAACGGCUCACCAUGGCAAUGAUACGUAGCCGACCUGAGAGGGUAAUCGGCCACAUUGGGACUGAGACACGGCCCAAACUCCUACGGGAGGCAGCAGUAGGGAAUCUUCCACAAUGGACGAAAGUCUGAUGGAGCAACGCCGCGUGAGUGAAGAAGGGUUUCGGCUCGUAAAACUCUGUUGUUAAAGAAGAACAUAUCUGAGAGUAACUGUUCAGGUAUUGACGGUAUUUAACCAGAAAGCCACGGCUAACUACGUGCCAGCAGCCGCGGUAAUACGUAGGUGGCAAGCGUUGUCCGGAUUUAUUGGGCGUAAAGCGAGCGCAGGCGGUUUUUUAAGUCUGAUGUGAAAGCCUUCGGCUCAACCGAAGAAGUGCAUCGGAAACUGGGAAACUUGAGUGCAGAAGAGGACAGUGGAACUCCAUGUGUAGCGGUGAAAUGCGUAGAUAUAUGGAAGAACACCAGUGGCGAAGGCGGCUGUCUGGUCUGUAACUGACGCUGAGGCUCGAAAGUAUGGGUAGCAAACAGGAUUAGAUACCCUGGUAGUCCAUACCGUAAACGAUGAAUGCUAAGUGUUGGAGGGUUUCCGCCCUUCAGUGCUGCAGCUAACGCAUUAAGCAUUCCGCCUGGGGAGUACGGCCGCAAGGCUGAAACUCAAAGGAAUUGACGGGGGCCCGCACAAGCGGUGGAGCAUGUGGUUUAAUUCGAAGCUACGCGAAGAACCCUUACCAGGUCUUGACAUACUAUGCAAAU
rnacentral:rRNA from 1 species